CCCACUUUUCCUCCCUUCUCCCUCCCCCUAUUCUCCCUCCUCUACUUUUAUUAGACUUUCUUCGUUCUACAUAUACACAAAGGUGAAAUUCCCUUUGGUACCUUAAUAUCAGCGCUUUAUAGUUUGCAGCAUGUAGAAAUGCAAUUGAUCGUCAUGUCCUGAGCUGCCUUCCCGUCACCCUUCCAUCCUACAACAUGCUGGCCUCUUGUAGCUCUACCAUGAACUACAUCCCCAGCAGUGGUAACUCCUUUUGUGGUAGCACACAGGAACUGAAGGAUGAAGUCUACCCAUUGGCACAGGAGGGCAGAGCAGGUUGCUGGAAGCAAUGGUCACAAGUGCAGCUUGAAAACUAUCACUGAGCUACCUCCCCAGCAGUGGCAACUCCUUCCAUGGCGGGUUCUUGAUAUGUUGGCCAGUCUGACCUCGAAUUUGCUAUCCUCCUGCCUCAAUAGCUAGGAUUACAGAGAGGUGAUGGCUACUAGAUCCUGAAGCUUGAGGCACCUUGGAAAAAGAAGAUGUACAACACCGAAUAAGGGGAUAAGAGGAGCCCCUGUCCCUGACAACAGAUUGGGAUUCCUGAUACUGCCCUGGACCACCUACCUCAGGAUUUUUACUUGAGAAAGAAA